rnacentral:rRNA from 1 species
GGACGAAGAUUGCUAAGCUAGCCAAAUGGUGGUUAUUGGUUCAAAUGUUCAAGGUGUUGAGAGAUAGAGAAAAUAUCUUGAGCUGAGGCAUGAGUACAAGAUACUACGGUAUUGAAGUAGCCUAUGUUAGACUUCCAAGAAAAGCUCGCACUGCCAUAAACAAAAAAUGCCUGUACUGGAAACCGACACAGGUGGGUUGGUAGAGUAUACCAAGGGGCGCGAGAUAACCCUCUCUAAGGAACUCGGCAAAAUAACCCCGUAACUUCGGGAGAAGGGGUACCUUUAUAAGGUUGCAAUAGCAAGGUCCAAGCGACUGUUUACCAAAAACACAGGUCUCCGCUAAGUCGUAAGACGACGUAUGGGGGCUGACGCCUGCCCAGUGCCGGAAGGUUAAAGAAGUUGGUUAGCUGCAAGGCGAAGCUGAUACCUGAAGCCCCGGUGAACGGCGGCCGUAACAAUAACGGUCCUAAGGUAGCGAAAUUCCUUGUCGGGUAAGUUCCGACCCGCACGAAAGGCGUAACGAUUUGGACACUGUCUCGGAGAGGGACUCGGUGAAAUAGACUUGUCUGUGAAGAUGCGGACUACCUGCACCUGGACAGAAAGACCCUAUGAAGCUUUACUGUAACUUGAGACUGAUUUCGGGCUUUAUUUGCGCAGCAUAGGUGGGAGGCUUUGAAGCAAAUCUUACGGGACUUGUGGA